AGAGGUAUAGUUCGGUGGUAGAAUGUUUGCCAAGCACCACGAGGCCCUGGGUUCAAACCCCAGUACCACAU
rnacentral:tRNA from 1 species